AAAAGUAAGAGUUCAGAUUUCGCUCUGAUACCAUAUUGUCCAAAAGAUCGAUUUGAUAAAAAGUAUUUAAAAUUUUUGUCUAAAUAGCAAAUAAAUCUAUGAGUGUCUUGCUGAUCUGAUUGUUCUUUCUGUCAGUUAUUUAAAAUCAAUAUCUUAUACACACGAUCUGCGAAAAAUUUUCUUAUAUGUCACACAAUUAACAAAUGAAAUGCUCAUCUUUCUUUCUUUCUUUUUUUUUCUCCUCAAUGCAGUAAUAGAAAAAAAAAAAGAAAAAAAGAAAAAAAGAAAAAGGGAAAAUUGCAUGAAUUUAAUGAGCAAACAAAAGGUAGUUUUGUGAUGCUAUGAAUGAUAAAUCCUAUAUAAAAAAAAUAAAGAAUCCACUUAUAUUAAUUCUAGGACAGUCUGACCUCACCCCCACCUCAAAUCCCAACCCAUCUCUUUUAUUAUAUAAUAAAAGGAAAACUUCAAAAACCCUCAUGUGGUUUCGUAGUUUCUCACUUUGUUCCCUUGUGGUUUCGUUUUUUUCUUUUCGGUAGCCCUUUCGUUAAUAUUUCAUUAAAUUAUAUACAAAAAGCUUCAGAUACCCAUCUAGAUUUAUCAAAUAUUCACUUUAGUACCCUUUAAAUUUAACUUUAUCACUAAUUUAAGAAAAAAAAUAAUGAAAUUGAUAAGGAAAAGAGAAAAAAGAAACCACAUUGGAGCAUAUUGAUACAUUUUAAACCACAAAGAAGCAAAGUGAGAAAUUAUGAAACCACAUGGGGGGUUUUUGAAGUUUUGUGUUGCAAUUGGACUUGUAAGUGGA
rnacentral:lncRNA from 1 species